GACGAACGCUGGCGGCGUGCCUAAUACGUGCAAGUCGAGCGCAGGAAACUGGCGGAACUCUUCGGAGGGAAGGCAGUGGAAUGAGCGGCGGACGGGUGAGUAACACGUAAGGAACCUGCCUCAAGGAUUGGGAUAACUCCGAGAAAUCGGAGCUAAUACCGGAUAGUUCAACGGACCGCAUGGUCCGCUGAUGAAAGGCGCUCCGGCGUCACCUUGAGAUGGCCUUGCGGUGCAUUAGCUAGUUGGUGGGGUAACGGCCCACCAAGGCGACGAUGCAUAGCCGACCUGAGAGGGUGAUCGGCCACACUGGGACUGAGACACGGCCCAGACUCCUACGGGAGGCAGCAGUAGGGAAUCUUCCACAAUGGACGAAGGUCUGAUGGAGCAACGCCGCGUGAGUGAUGAAGGUUUUCGGAUCGUAAAACUCUGUUGUAAGGGAAGAACACGUACGAGAGGAAAUGCUCGUACCUUGACGGUACCUUACGAGAAAGCCACGGCUAACUACGUGCCAGCCGCCGCAGUAAAAC
rnacentral:rRNA from 1 species